AUUGCAAAGGAUGCUUGCAGAAUAAUUGCAGAAGAUCGCAGAAGAUUGUAGAAGCUCCUUAUUGCAGAAGAUGAUUGCAGAAGCUUGUAGAAGAUGAUUGCAUAAGCUGAUUGCAGAAGAAUCUUGCAGAAGAUUGCAGAAGCUCCUUGUUGCAGAAGAUGAUUGCAGAAGAAUCUUGCAGAAGAUUGCAGAAGCUCCUUGUUGCAGAAGAUGAUUGCAGAAGGUUGCAGAAGAUGAUUUC
rnacentral:lncRNA from 1 species